UGGAUGAUGUUGUUUAAUUCGAAGAUACGCGAAAACUACCAGGUCUUGACAUACUCUGCAAAGCUAUAGAGAUAUAGUGGAGGUUAACAGAUGUACGGGUGGUGCAUGGUUGUCGUCAGCUCGUGUCGUGAGAUGUUGGGUUAAGUCCCGCAACGAGCGCAACCCUUAUUGCUAGUUACCAUCAUUCAGUUGGGGACUCUAGCGAGACUGCCAGUGAUAAACUGGAGGAAGGUGGGGAUGACGUCAAAUCAUCAUGCCCCUUAUGACCUGGGCUACAAACGUCAUACAAUGGCUGAAACAAAGAGAAGCGAAGCAGUGAUGUGGAGCAAAACUCAUAAAAGCAGUCUCAGUUCAGAUUGUAGUCUGCAACUCGACUACAUGAAGUCGGAAUCGCUAGUAAUCGCAGAUCAGCAUGCUGCGGUGAAUACGUUCCCGGGUCCU
rnacentral:rRNA from 1 species